rnacentral:misc_RNA from 1 species
CCCCCUUCUACCCUGUGCGCGCCAAACCAGCACGUGUCUCUCGUUAUCCCGGCUUCCUUCUCCCUGUGCCUCUGCUGCUCCUCUGCUCCUGUUUCGUGCCUGCUCUUCUCACUACCAGCAUACCCCUGCCUCUCUGCACAUGCUUAGACAUACACACAACCACAUAGGGAGAGCAAAGUAUGCGGCACGUGUUUUACAUUCCAUCAUCGUACGCGGCGUUGAUCUAUGCCCUGACCACGGGGUACGCGCUGUUUGCCUGCCUCUACAUGGCCGGCGUCCUCCACUGGAGCGAUAUUAUGGUGACGUCAUGCGGGGAGCACCACUACGAGUUCUGGCCUAGCAUCAGCGCCACGAUCGGUGACAUGAUGCCGGAGAGGCAGACGUGGCGGGUGGCCUUCGCCUUGUGCGCCCCGUUCCGCUUGGGCGCCAGCAUCUCUUUAUUCAACGUCUUUUGGCAAAGAGCUUCACGUGGCAUGGCGGACCUGUACGGCUUUCGCAGCUCGUGGAAGGCCUUCCUGAGCAGCAACGCCUUCUUGGCGCUCCUGGCACUUUGGGCUGAUAUGUGGCGACUCAUCGGGGCCUCCGUGUAUUCUGUAGUGAGCUCGAAGGAGUCGCUCACUUACCACAACCUUGGCUUCUGCCCCUACCUCCCCUUCUGCCUUGUGCUGCAGGUGGCCGUGACGAUGCUGGUGCGGCGCAAUCAGUUCAACAUGGCCAUCUACCCUACCCCGCAAGACGCCGCCGCCUCGUACGCGGUCAAGCGCGUUUGCCUCUGUGGCGAGGUCGUCGGUACCGUUGGCGUCGUCUGCUGCUACAGCUACUACCUCCGCACGUGUGCAAACGGCUCACUCAGCUUGUCGAACAUAUGCGAGUGGGUGUUCUCCAUCUUCAACAUCAUCUUUGACGGCUCGGCUUGGUUUGACUUAAGGCAGGAGGGCUGGUGGCUGAGCGGGCCGCCGAGUUUCUACCGGAAGCUUUAUGCUCGUCGCGCCCACCGCGCUAGCGGAGCGAAGUCGCCGCCGCGGGUCAAAGGCGCGAAAGACGGCGCCAAGGAUAGACAUGCUGACGGCGACGUCGACGUCGGGGCGCCGGUUUUCAACGGCGAUGGCGACGCGACGCCAGAGCGCGACAGCGGUGCUGCUGCCGAGGAUACGAUGCCGCUCACCUCCCCACCGCGUACCACCAAGGGCGAGUUCUUCCUCGAUCGCAAUGUCAUUCUGCACCGCUUCAGCUUCUGCAGCGCGCCGUCGAGGCUGUCGUUGUGGAUCUGCGAUCUGUACUGGGCGCACAUGUUUUUCGAAAUGGCGGUGCACCUCAUCCAGCACAUGUACUUUAUGCCGCUCAUCGCCAUGUCGCUCUCGUGGGAGGUGUCCUCGCUGCUGGUGCUCGGCGCUCCGUGCCUGUUGCGCAUCAGCGCCUUUCGUCGAUGGGCCACAGGGCCGUGCAUCUGUGCACGGACCUGGCUGAAGCCAUCGCAUGUGCCGAUCGGCCUCAGUUACCGCACGGUGCCCAUGUACAUUCUUUUCUACGCGCUGGCGUCGAUCUCCCACUUCCACCAGGUCAUCCGCUGGAAUCCCGGCAAGAAGAUUCUGGUGGUCGCGGUGGGUCCACUGUUCCUCUCGCUGGCGCUCUACACACGCUUUUUAUACCCCUCCACCGUGACGCUCAAGCGUGCAUGGGCGGUGGGCAAUGAGGACAGCCGCCGCAUGACAAUGACGCUGCCGCUCGGGUUGGUUCUCUGCAUGCUUCUCCGUGUGCAGCAUGUGGGCGUGUCGCCCUUCUUCACAAACCCCUUCUACGGCAGCAUCUACGGCAUCUUGCUGGGCCUGAUCUUCACCACCAUCAUCUACCGCCAUGCCAUGAUGGGCAAUACGCUGAAGGAGGAGGUACAGCAGCAGUGCAGCGCGCCUUCUGCCGCGCAGAUGAGCGCGACGACACCGCGGAUGCGCGAUUCGCAUCGUGACAGCGAUGCUGAGGAAAUCCAGGACUUUUACGUGAGCACCUCGAGCGGCGGCCGUGACGCCUCGCACACCGACUGCAUUGGCAAGGUCGCUGACGGUGCCGAUAUCCGCGGCGUCCACUUUAGUCUGAGCCAGGUCGACGAGGUGAACGAGAACACUGUGUCGGCCAUCGCCACGCUUUACACGCCGCCGUCCCCGGCGCUGCUCGGUGUUUUGUGUGGGUGCAUCACAAGCAUCGGCAUCACGUUCUUGAUCUGCCCCAACUACAUUCCACGCAUGCUCGCGGUGGAGCCUUUCCCAGCGAAUCUCGUCAUCGCAGGCGUCUUCACAGCUGGGUUGUACUACUCUACGGACGUCCUUCCUCUCGCGCUCGUGCUGCUGCGUCCCAAGGGCCACCCUGACAUCGUGCGACGCGCGCUCUACGCCGUCUUUGGCGGUUCCUGGGCCCGCUUCGGUGUGCUCUUGGCUCUCAACACUACGCUGAUGCUUUUUGCCACGCGGCAGACAAACUUCACGUAUGAGGUGCCGCACGACGGGUACCCCGUGACGAUGGACACGCCGAGGGCGCAGGUGGAUGUGAAGUACUGGGAGGCGCAAGAGACAUUUUGGGGUAGCAAGCAUGUGGCCUUCAUGGGCGGCCUCGGCUUCACCUUCUGCAUGGGUGUGCUCUUCCCCUUCGCGAUGGAGGUGACGUGGGCGCACCAGCGCGACCGCCGCUUUGCACAGAUCGCGGAUGCGACGGACACAGAGGCCGUUAUCAGUCACGAGUGCUCCUUCUUCGUGUCCUUCGAGUUCACCUGGCUCCUAUGCGUGACCUCCUUCUGCGUCCUCUACGCGCUGUGCAUCUCUUACCCGUUUGUGCCGAUGGCGUGGCUGGUGCGCGAAAAGUCGCGGCCUCUCAUCCUGGCGCAUGUCGGCACGCUGUACCUCACCGCCUGGAUUGUGGCGCGUCGCAUCCGCAGCUCUCGCGCGGUCGCCGCUGCCAUCACGGAUGUUGCUGCGGCGCGGAAGCAGCGCUCCAUCCAGAUGAUGGUCAUCAUCAUCAUCGCCUUCUCUUUUGUGUGGGUGUUUAUCGGACGGGUUACCAUGGGCGGCGCCGAUGCCACAUUCCCAGCGAACAAGAAGACGGCCAUCCAGUUCCAAGAGGAGGUGCUGCACCUGCACAAGAUGCUCAUUGAGCUGCGCAGGGAGCGCAACAUCAUCACGGACCCCUACAUGAAGAAGUUCGAGACGAUCUACUACCAGGAGCGAUUCGAGGAUGCAAUGGCGAGCAUGGGCAAGAACAUUACGGAGUCGAAGGACGGCGUUCCGGUGGACCCCAAGUUCAAUCUGACGCAUCUCAGCCGCGAGGACCGCAUUGACGUCUGGGAGGCCGCUAAGGCGAUGACUUUCUUCUCCGGAGCGAUCUGGACGGUCCACUUUGGGUUGGACAACUACAACGUCGACUCCUUCUCCCGCAUCGUGGAGGAGCUGCGCAAGACGGAGGCCAGCGUGAUCGGGCUGCUGGAGAGUGACAGCAUGCAUCUCACGAACGGCAACCGCGACAUGGUCGACUACGUUUCGUACCACCUCGGCUUCCGCUACACGGACUACGGCCCCACCGCCCUCGACAACACAUACGGAUGCGCCCUCGUUACCCGCUACCCCAUCCUCGACGUGCGCCGCUACGUCAUCCCAUCCCCUCUCGGCGAGUUGGCAUGCGUCAUUCACGCGGUGCUGGAUGUGUACGGUCUGCCGGUGCACACGUACGUCGGCCACUUCGGCAACACGGAACACUGGGCGGACGGCUUGCUGCAGUCCCAGUUUCUCGGGCGGCUCGUCCUGUCGAAUCCGGGGCCGUCCAUGUGGCUCGGCUACCUUGUCACCCAUCCCGGAAUGAAGGAGCGGUAUCAGGAGUACACAGACCCGAAGGCGCCGGGCAAGUUUCGCGACGCUGGGCUGGAGAUGUACCGGCAGCACCCGUGGGCGCGGCUGUGGGAUCGCGGCGGCUACGAGGAGGAGCUACCGGUGCCCACAAAGCAGCCAGUCAAAAAGACAGACUUUGACAUCGAGGUGAAGUUUCAAUACGUAGGCUAUCUGGAGGAAGGCAUGCAGGUGGACAGCCACUUUCGCCGCCCGCCAGCGGACAAGCCGCCACGCCAUUUCUACUACAAUGACACCGGCCGUUACACGAACGCUCACCCGCGGUUCGAGUUCAUGGAUCGAUAUUGCCAGUACUGCCUAUACAAGACCGGCGCUACGGUAGACGAGGUGGUAGGUGAUGCGGGGAAGCUGCAACCUUACCAGGUGCGCCUGUUCGAUUGGUGGCGCAUCGUCGACCACGGGGUGGAACUGCUGUCCGACACGGAAAUUCAGGUCAUCCAGCUCGCGUUCGAGAAACGUGCGUGAAGUAAGCGGAUUGGAAAUGUGGUUGCGACGCGAAAAAGCGACGAGCACCGAAGAAAGACACUCAGCAGGGAGGGCCGGCCGUAUGUUUUCGCCAUCAUCCUGACCUCCGCAAGGUGAACACGUUGCCUGCUCUCGAACUUGCGCGUCCAUAUGUGCAUGGACACUAUACUUAGGCUUUUCAUAUAUAUAUAUAUAUAUGUCUGCCUGCUUUCCUUCUGCCCUCUUCCCUGAAGGAGUUUGUGAUCACUUCAUCUGUUUGCGGAGGUGUCGUUUUGCAAGGAUAGGGAUGUGCUCUCGCGGUCUCUAUGCUUGAAAGGUGCUGGGAAGCGUUGCUGGUGUGCAUGCAUAUGACGAAAGGAGGGAGGAGGGGGCAGCGGCGGCGGCCGGCAAGCCGCAACGCUUAGUGCUGCUGCUGCCUCUGCCGUGGCCAAGAGAAGGAGAGAGGCCAGGUCGCACAUAGGUUCGGGUGGUUUCUCUCUCUCUCCUUCCGUUGUAAAAGAUGCUACUCCUGCUCUGCCUCACGCCUUGAGCGCAGUGAGCGUGUAUCGGCGGCGUUUGCUCUUUUCCUCUUUCUUUCCUGUGCGUUAUGUGUGCAACGCGUUGGCGAAACCUUCCCUCCCACCCCCUUCGUCUUUUCCCCCGGUUGGUGCUUCUUCGGCAACCAUGUCUUGCCCACCUAGCGUGCCUUCCCUUUUCUUUUCAUCGUUGAAUAAGACGACAUUUUUCUUCCCUCUUUCCCCCAGAACUUGCCACUUCUUGCAUGAUGCGCAUGACGCCGCACUUUUCUGUGUGCGUGUGUGCUAACGUGCUAUUAUUCAUGUCGCUUAUUUUUAUUUUCGUUGUUGCUGUUGGGCGGUUUUCUCUCUCUUAUUCGCGCGUUUUCCUUGUGUCUUUUCGUCUUAUACACGAAAGAGGCGCGCUCUUUCCAUUUCCAUCGCUCUCCAAGAGCGAAAGGGAGCGGGGCGCACACACGCACACACACGCACAAGGGAAGAGAGAGAGAGAUCGAUUUUCUCCUACGCAAGCGCACUCGCAUCCCAUCGCACCUCUGCGCAUGGUGUGCACGCCGUCACGAAGCCAGCACGCAAGUGACAGGCGCUUUAUCGUUUUUCGUCUUUCCCAGUCAAUAAAAAAGAAAGAACGCACGCAUCAUCAUUGCCGUCGUCAUCGUCAUUGUCACCAUCGUCGUCUCCCACUCUCUCCUCUGCGUGUCACGUGCGGGUCCAUCUCAGGCGAUUUUCUCGUGUUGCGUGCUCGGUUUGCCUUUUUCUUUGGUGAUCUCCUCCUUUCUUUCGUUGCCUCUGUCGUUGUUGUGGUGCUUCUCCUUGGCGCUCUCUGGCAAGACUGAGGUGGGGCCUUCGUCUGGGCAUCGCUUGCCCGGCGGUUGCCAGCACACGCGCUUGUGUAUUACGCCCUCUCUCGUAGUAUGCGCUGAUUGAAGUUGUCUCUCCAGUGCAUAUCUGAGGGACAAUGACACCCACACCCACACGCGCACGCGCGCAAGUUCGCCAAAUGGAGAAGGAAGGGGGGGGGACACUCAGUGAUAGAGCUCGCCUCGGCUUCUGCUGCCUUCUAUCUUCCUCUUUCGCUCCUUUUACUGUGCCGACGAUGGGGGCGCGUUUCUGCUGCCUUUUCCUUUUCUCGAUUUGGGGUUUGAUUCCUAGUGCUUUUCUCUUUUUUUUUCACAGCCAGCAUAUUCCCUGUUUCUGUCGGUCACCUCAGUCUGUGGCAUCACAGGGCCCAGUACCGUCUCCUUCUGGGGAAGUCAAGCAGCCUGCCCAGCCUGCCCUCGGGGGUACGGACUGGCGGACUCGUGGCGUCGGCGGACAGGUCGUUGCUGGCGCCGUGCCGAAGAGACGUGUGACCAUGGUGAUCACGCUUGUGCCGGCUCACUACGCAUCGUGUCGACCAUUUCAACAGGUGUACACACCCGCCUGCUGUUUUUCGGCAUUCGCGGCGUUGCAGUGAUGUCGAGCGUCGUUCUGGGCUUAGCCUGCGGUGUACGCAGUGGCAUUGCGGUGGGCUGAGCGGCGCCAAGCGGUGUUGGUCGGCCCUGCUGCUUGGCAUAGCCGUGGUGCAGCAGAGGCAAGGCGGAGCCGUGGUUGUACGUGCGUAUAUGUCUGCUGACUUGUCGGGAGGGGGGCUGGCAUAUAAUGGACACGGUGGGAAGCAAUCGUUGUAUUUCUUCAUGGCGUUCUUUUCUGAUUGAGUGUUGUGUUUUUCUCUGCGCGUG